rnacentral:rRNA from 1 species
CUGGGCUCGAAGCGCAGUGGACCGGGGUAGAAAUAUCCCUUCCCCUUAAAAGGCUGCUGCGGAGGUGCUGCAUGGCUGUCGUCAGCUCGUGUCGUGAGAUGUUGGGUUAAGUCCCGCAACGAGCGCAACCCUUAUCCCUAGUUGCCAUCGGGUCAAGCCGGGCACUCUAGUGAAACUGCCUCGGAUAACGAGGAGGAAGGUGGGGAUGACGUCAAGUCCUCAUGGCCUUUAUGUCCAGGGCUACACACGUGCUACAAUGGUCGGUACAAACCGUCGCAAACCCGUGAGGGGGAGCUAAUCGGAAAAAGCCGGCCUCAGUUCGGAUUGGAGUCUGCAACUCGACUCCAUGAAGCUGGAAUCGCUAGUAAUCGCGGAUCAGAACGCCGCGGUGAAUACGUUCCC